AGUCUUGGAGCUCCUGGUUUUCCGUGCGGACCUGUGGCUGCAGCCUAUGGGUGAGGAGAGGAGACAGACUUACCUCAUGCGAUGACUCAACUCAACCUUUUUUUAAUUUAUUUAUUUAUUUAUUUAUUUAUUUAUUUUGAGACGGAAUCAUGCUCUGUCGCCCAGGCUGGAGUGCAGAGGCGCGAUCUCGGCUCACUGCAACCUCCGCCUCCGGGUUCAAGCGAUUCCUCUGCCUCAGCCUCCCGGGUAGCUGGGACUGCAGGCGCGCGCCACCACGCCCAUCUAAUUUUUGUAUUUUUAGUAGAGACGGGGUUUCACCAUGUUGUCCAGGAUAGUCUUGAUCUCUUGACCUCGUGAUCUGCCAGCCUCAACCUCCCAAAGUGCUGGGAUUAUAGGCGUGAGCCACCGUGCCCGGCCAGCUGAACCUUUUUAAAGGCCCUGGUACCUGCGGAAGCCAAGAUGUGCCAAUUUUCAGCGGGCGCUGCCCCCACUUUAACAGGGCAGAGCCAGAGCGGCCGCCCUGGUGGCCUGGAGCCGCACACUCGCGCUGGCCUAAUGUCGCUCCCCGCCCCCCCCCCUUUUUUUUUUUUGAGAUGGAGUCUCGCUCUGUCGCCCAGGCUGGAGUGCAGUGACGCGAUCUCGGCUCACUGCAGCCUCCGCCUCCCGGGUUCAAGCGAUUCUCCUGCCUCAGCCUCCUGAAUAGCUGGGAUUACAAUCGCGCGCCACCACGCCCGGCUAUUUUUUGUAUUUUUAGUAGAGAGAGGGCUUCACCCUGUUGGCCAGGCUGGUCUCGAACUCCUGACCUCAGGUGAUCCGCCCGCCUCGGCCUCCCAAAGUGCUAGGGUUACAGGCGUGAGCCACCGUGCCCAGCCAGUGCCCCAUUUUUGAAGGUUGAAGAGACUACUUCCCCUAUUUGGGAUACAGUUGGUGCGGGGAAAGCAGAACGGGUGUGUCCAGGGACAGGCCAUAAUUCACCCUCACAGGAUAAAGUCUAAAGAAAGGACGAGUUGGGCGGGGCGUGGUGGCUCACGCCUGUAAUCUCAGCACUUUGAGAGGCCGAGGCGGGCGGAGAUCGAGACCAUCCUGGCUAACACCGUGAAACUCCGUCUCUACUAAAAAUACAAAAUUUAGCCGGGCGUGGUGGCACGCACCUGUAGUCCCAGCUACUCGGGAGGCUGAGGCAGGAGAAUCGCUUGAACCCGGGAGGCGGAGGUUGCAGUGAGCCGAGAUCCCGCCAUUGCACUCCAGCCUGGGGACCAAGAGCCAGACUCCAUCUCAAAAAAAAUAAAAAGGCCGGGUGCGGUGGUUCACGCCUGUAAUCCCAGCACUUUGGGAGGCCUAGGCGGGUGGAUCACGAGGUCAGAAGAUCGAGACUAUUCUGGCUAACACGAUGAAACUCCGUCUCUACUAAAAAAAAAUACAAAACAAUUAGCCGGGCGUGGUGGCGGGCCCCUGUAGUCCCAGCUACUCGGGAGGCUGAGGCAGGAGAAUGGUGUGAACCCGGGAGGUGGAGCUUGCAGUGAGCUGAGAUCACGCCACUGCACUGAGGGUUCUGUGAGAGUCAGUAAAGGUUAAAGCCAUUUAUAUGUGUAUGGUCCAACCAUACACAAUCGGCCCUCCAUAUCCGCAUGUCCCACCUUUGGAGAUUGAACGAAGAGCGGGUUGAAAAUACAGUGUUGAGGUAUGGUGGCUCACACCUGUAAUCUCGCACUUCAGGAAUCCAAGCAGGAGGAUCGCUUCAGGCCAGGAGUUCAAGACCAGCCUGGGCAGCAUAGAGACCUCCUUUCUACUAAAAAUUUGGGGGAAAAAAAAAAUUAGCUGGGCCUCGGGGCCCGCACCUGUAGUCCCACCUACUCAGGAGGCUGAGGCAGAGGGAUCGCUUAAACCCAGGAGGUCGAGGCUGAGUGAGCUAUAAUCCCUCCACUGCACUCCAGCUUGGGUGACAGAGACCCUGUCUCAAAAAAAAAGGGGGGAAAGAAAAGGAGGCUGGGCGCAGUGGCUCACUCCUGUAAUCCCACCACUUUGGGAGGCCGAGGCAGGCAGAUCACCUGAGGUCGGGAGUUCGAGACCAGCCUGACCAACAUGGAGAAACCCCAUCUCUACUAAAAAUACAAAAUUAGCCAGGCGUGGUGGCCGCAUGCCUGUAAUCCCAGCUACUCGGGAGGCUGAGGCAGGAGAACCGCUUGAACCUGGGAGGCAGAGGUUGUGGUGAGCUGAGAUUGUGCCAUUGCACUCCAGCCUGGGCAACAAGAGUGAAACUCUGCCUCAAAAAAAAAAAAAAAAAGACUGGGCGCGGUGGCUCACACCUGUAAUCCCAGCACUUUGGGAGGCCGAAGCAGGUGGAUUACUUGAGGUCAGGAGUUCAAAACCAGCUUGGCCCACAUUGUGAAACCCCGUCUCUACUGAAAAUACAAAACAGUCAGGGGUGGUGGCGUGUGCCUGUAAUCCCAGCUACUUGGGAGGCUGAGGCAGGAGAACUGCUUGAACCCAGGAGGUGGAGGUUGCAGUGAGCCGAGAUCGCGCCACUGCACUCCAACCUGGCCGACACAACAAGACUCCAUCUCAAAAAAGAAAAAGAAAAAAGAGGGAGGAAGGGAGGAAAAGAAAAGGAAAGGAAAGGAAAUAUUGUAAGGAUGCAGAACCCACAGAUCUGAAGAGCUGACUUCAUAUCUGCUGUUUGGCAGGGCCAACUGUAGGACUUGAGCGCCUGCAGAUUUCGGUAUUCACAGGCGGUCCUGGAACCAAUCCCCAGCAGUUAAGCAUGUAUAACUAUCAAUCAUAUAACUAUGUAACGGUUGAACUAUCCGUCUUAGCAAUAUACAAGUGUAUUGCAAAGUGCCAGACCGGGUAGGUACUCAGUAAACAUUCCCUUUGGCUA
rnacentral:lncRNA from 1 species